rnacentral:rRNA from 1 species
AGCAGCCGCGGUAAUUCCAGCUCCAUAGCGUAUAUUAAAGUUGUUGCCGUUAAAAAGCUCGUAGUUGAACCUUGGGCCUGGCUGACCUGUCCUCCUAAUCGAGCGCACGGGUUCGGUCGGGCCUUUCCUUCUGGGGAUCCCGAUGCCCUUCACUGGGCGUCGUGGGGAACCAGGACUUUUACCUUGAAAAAAUUAGAGUGUUCAAAGCAGGCCUUUGCUCGAAUACAUUAGCAUGGAAUAAUAGAAUAGGACAGAGGUUCUAUUUUGUUGGUUUCUAGGACCGCUGUAAUGAUUAAUAGGGAUAGUCGGGGGCGUCCGUAUUCAAUUGUCAGAGGUGAAAUUCUUGGAUUUAUUGAAGACGAACUACUGCGAAAGCAUUCGCCAAGGAUGUUUUCAUUAAUCAGUGAACGAAAGUUAGGGGAUCGAAGACGAUCAGAUACCGUCGUAGUCUUAACCAUAAACUAUGCCGACUAGGGAUCGGACGGUGGUUUUUUUAUACCNCG